ensembl:lncRNA
GUCGGCCCAAUUGAGGUAGUAUGUACAUGAAUGUAAAGUGACUGUGCAUACAUGAUAAACAGAGAGUAGCAGCAGCGUAAAAAGAGGGGUUGGGGGGGCACACAAUGCAAAAGGUCAGGGUAGCCAUUUGAUUACCUGUUCAGGAGUCUUAUGGCUUGGGGGUAAAAACUGUUGAGAAGCCUUUUUGUCCUAGACUUGGCACUCCGGUACCGCUUGUCAUGCGGUAGUAGAGAGAACAGUCUAUGACUGGGGUGGCUGGGGUCUUUGACCAUUUUUAGGGCCUUCCUCUGACACCGCCUGGUGUCCUGGAUGGCAGGCAGCUUAGCCCCAGUGAUGUACGGGGCCGUACGCACUACCCACUGUAGUGCCUUGCGGUCGGAGGCCGAGCAGUUGCCGUACCAGGCAGUGAUGCAACCAGUCAGGAUGCUCUCGAUGCUGCAGCUGUAGAACCUUUUGAGGAUCUCAGGACCCAUGCCAAAUCUUUUUAGUUUCCUGAGGGGGAAUAGGCUUUGUCGUGCCCUCUUCACGACUGUCUUGGUGUGUUUGGACCAUUCUAGUUUGUUGUUGAUGUGGACACCAAGGAACUUGAAGCUCUCAACCUGCUCCACAAAAGCCCCGUCGAUGAGAAUGGGGGCGUGCUCGGUCCUCCUUUUCCUGUGGUCCACAAUAAUCUCCUUAGUCUUGGUUACGUUGAGGGAUAGGUUGUUAUUCUGGCACCUCCCGGCCAGGUCUCUGACUUCCUCCCUAUAGGCUGUCUCGUCGUUGUCGGUGAUCACUGUUGUGUCAUCUGCAAACUUAAUGAUGGUGUUGGAGUCGUGCCUGGCCAUGCAGUCAUGGGUGAACACUGAGCAUACACCCCUGGGGAGCUCCAGUGUUGACGAUCAGCGUGGCUGAUAUGUUGCUACCUACCCUCACCACCUGGGGGCGGCCCGUCAGGAAGUCCAGAAUCCGGUUGCAGAAGUAGGUGUUUAGUCCCAGGAUCCUUAGCUUAGUGAUGAGCAUUGAGGGUACUAUGGUGUUGAACGCUAAGCUGUAGUCAAUGAAUAGCAUUCUCACGUAAGUGUUCCUUUUGUCCAGGUGGAGUGCAAUAGAGAUUGCAUCAUCUGUGGAUCUGUUUGGGCGGAAUGCAAAUUGGAGUGGGUCUAGGGUUUCUGGGAUAAUGGUGUUGAUGUGAGCCAUUACCAACCUUUCAAAGCACUUCAUGGCUACGGACAAGAGUGCUAAGAGUGCUUCAUGGGCACAGGGACUAUGGUGGUCUGCUUGAAACAUGUUUGUAUUACAGACUUAAUCAGGGACAUGUUGAAAGUGUCAGUGAAGACACCUGCCAGUUGGUCAGCACAUUCCCAGAGCACACGUCCUGGUAAUCCGUCUGGCCCCGCAGCCUUGUGUAUGUUGACCUGUUUAAAGGUCUUACUCACGUCGGCUACGUAGAGCGAGAUCACACAGUCGCCUGGAACAGCUGAUGCUCUCAUGCAUGCCUCAGUGUUGCUUUCCUCGAAGUGAGCAUAGAAGUGAUUUAGCUCGUCUGGUAGGCUCGUGUCACUGGGUAACUCACAGCUGUGCUUCCCUUUUGUAGUCUGUAAUAGUUUGCAAGCCCUGCCACAUAAGACGAUUGUCGGUGUAGUAUGAUUCAAUCUUAGCCCUGUAUUGACGCUUUGCCUGUUUGAUGGUUCGUCACAGGGCAUAUCAGGAUGUCUUGUAAGCUUCCGGGUUAGAGUCCCGCAUGUUGAAAGCUGCUGCUCUACCCUUUAGCUCAGUGCGAAGGGUGCCUGUAAUCCAUGGCUUCUGGUUGGGGUAUGUACGUACAGUCACUGUGGGGACGAUGUCAAUGCAAUUAUUGAUAAAGCCAGUGACUGAUGUGGUGUACUCCUCAAUGCCAUCUGAAGAAUCCCGGAACAUGUUCCAGUCUGUUCUAGCAAAACAGUCCUGUAGUUUAGCAUCAAUGCCAAACAACUCUCCUUCUAUGGCCUCCAAUUGCUCUUAAAUACAAGUAAAACUAAAUGCAUGCUCUUCAACCGAUCGCUACCUGCACCUGCCCGCCUGUCCAACAUCACUACUCUGGAUGGCUCUGACUUAGAAUACGUGGACAACUACAAAUACUUAGGUGUCUGGUUAGACUGUAAACUCUCCUUCCAGACCCAUAUCAAACUUCUCCAAUCCAAAGUUAAAUCUAGAAUUGGCUUCCUAUUUCACAACAAAGCAUCCUUCACUCAUGCUGCCAAACAUACCCUUGUAAAACUGACCAUCCUACCAAUCCUCAACUUUGGCAUUUCAUUUACAUGUCAUUUACAAAAUAGCCUCCAAUACCCUACUCAACAAAUUGGAUGCAGUCUAUCACAGUGCAAUCCGUUUUGUCACCAAAGCCCCAUAUACUACCCACCAUUGCGACCUGUACGCUCUCGUUGGCUGGCCCUUGCUUCAUACUCGUCGCCAAACCCACUGGCUCCAUGUCAUCUACAAGACCCUGCUAGGUAAAGUCCCCCCUUAUCUCAGCUCGCUGGUCACCAUAGCAUCUCCCACCUGUAGCACACGCUCCAGCAGGUAUAUCUCUCUAGUCACCCCCAAAACCAAUUCUUUCUUUGGCCGCCUCUCCUUCCAGUUCUCUGCUGCCAAUGACUGGAACGAAC